CCUACGGGUGGCAGCAGUGAGGAAUAUUGGUCAAUGGACGCAAGUCUGAACCAGCCAUGCCGCGUGCAGGAAGACGGCUCUAUGAGUUGUAAACUGCUUUUGUACGAGGGUAAACGCAGAUACGCGUAUCUGUCUGAAAGUAUCGUACGAAUAAGGAUCGGCUAACUCCGUGCCAGCAGCCGCGGUAAUACGGAGGAUUCAAGCGUUAUCCGGAUUUAUUGGGUUUAAAGGGUGCGUAGGCGGUCGGAUAAGUUAGAGGUGAAAUCCCGAGGCUCAACUUCGGAAUUGCCUCUGAUACUGUUCGGCUAGAGAGUAGUUGCGGUAGGCGGAAUGUAUGGUGUAGCGGUGAAAUGCUUAGAGAUCAUACAGAACACCAGUGGCGAAGGCGACUUACUGGACUGUAACUGACGCUGAGGCAUGAGAGCAUGGGGAGCAAACAGGAUUAGAUACCCUUGUAGUC
rnacentral:rRNA from 1 species